rnacentral:tRNA from 1 species
GCUUGGAUGGCUCAGUCGGUUAAGCGUCUGACUUCGGCUCCGGUCAUGACCAUUCGUGGGUUUGAGCCCUGCUUCAGGCU